rnacentral:tRNA from 1 species
AAGAGAUUAGUUAAACUAACAUUAGUAUGUCACGCUAAAAUUACUGGUUGAACCCAGUAUCUCUUA